UCUUCUUUUAAAAUUCCUCAACUUCCCUUCAACCCAUUUUUAUUAAAGAGCAAUUCUAUAUCUUUAUAGAAGAUUUAAUGUUAAAACUAGUAAUAAGAAGCAGACCCUUCUCUUUAAUGUAAACUUAUAUCAGCAAGGACACCCCCACUGAUUUUUAACGUCCCUAAAAUUAUAGUAAAAACUUAGCAAGAAAACAUUACUCCUAUUUACGUUAACCUUACACAAGAACAUUUUAAGAAAGAUUAAAAGGAAAAGAAGGAACUCGGCAAAUAUUAGCCCCGCCUGUUUACCAAAAACAUCGCCUCUUGAUAAUUUAUAAGAGGUCCAGCCUGCCCAGUGACUCUGUUCAACGGCCGCGGUAUCCUAACCGUGCGAAGGUAGCGUAAUCACUUGUUCUUUAAAUGAGGACUAGUAUGAAUGGCCCCACGAAGGCUACACUGUCUCCUUUUCCUAAUCAAUGAAACUAAUCUUCCCGUGAAGAAGCGGGAAUAAUAAUAUAAGACGAGAAGACCCUAUGGAGCUUUAAACUAUAGAAACACUUGCUUUGUACCUUAAACCCUCCCGAGAUUUUUUCAAAUAUUUAAGCAAUUUUUAUUUCCAGUUUUAGGUUGGGGUGACCACGGAGUAAAAUUUAACCUCCUCGAUGAAAGAGAUCUUCUCUUAGCUAAAAGCUACCUCUUUAAGCACCAACAAAUUGACUCUCAUUGACCCAAUUAAUUGAUCAACGAACCAAGUUACCCUAGGGAUAACAGCGCAAUCUACCUCGAGAGCUCAUAUCGACAGGUGGGUUUACGACCUCGAUGUUGGAUCAGGGUAUCCUAGUGGUGCAGCCGCUACUGAUGGUUCGUUUGUUCAACGAUUAAAACCCUAC
rnacentral:rRNA from 1 species